CUACAGUGAAAAAUAUUGUCAGCUGACAAUCUUCCCAGGAGUGGACGUCCCAGCAAAUUCACCCCAAGGUGGUGCUGAUGGAUCGGAAGCUGGACGACAUCCUGAAGAUCGUACUGGAGCAGUUCCGGAGCCAGGCACAGCUGUCGCCGAAGCUGCGGGUCGCCGUAACCAAACGCUGGGGAGCCAGCAUGGAUGAGGGCCAGUGAACUCACUGUCACCGCCUCAUUUCUACGCGGGACUCCGGUGGAAGCCAGAGGAAACCUGGGCAGCAAAGAAGGAGAAUGCAAAGUCCACACACAUGGAAUAAUCAGAAAUUAAACCGGCAACACAGUCAUUUCACACAAUCAGCCACUGGACUUCCUUGUCCAGUAAAUGCAUUACCUCAGGGUCAUGAUAAACAAACCUGUUACCAGUGCUAAUUUCGUCAAUGAAAAUUUUGAUAAGUAUUUGUUGACUAAAUUGUAACGACAAUGUAAAUGAAAAAAUGGUUGACAAUGAAAAUUACAGCACAAUCUCUGUUCAUUAUACUUUGACGAGUAAAGACAAGACAAAAUUGCUGGCUCUGUUUGGGCAGACAACCUAGAUCACAGUAGCCAUCUAAAAGCAUUGAUUGUUAUCCUUUUUAACCAAUCAUUUACAUGCAUAUAUCUGCAAGUGCACGUACCAGUUCUUACUGUGUUACUGCCCCAAUUUUCCGUUCGACAACAGUUUUGGAUAAUUGCUGACAAAACCCCCAGAUCUAAGGCAUCUGUGUGCCAUCGGAGCUGGCAAAUUGGCGCUUGAUCGCUAUCUGUGAACUAUUUACAAAGCAACCCAACAGAGUCGGCAGUGCAUCGCAAACGCCCGUCAGAUAUCUAGCAGGCUGUCAGGGUCAGCACCCCUCUGUCCAAGUCUUUUGUGUCUUCUCCCUGUUUGGCCAGCUGGUGUCACUUGCCAUCCUGUCCUCGUUGUGAAAGUCUUUAGUGUGUUUUGCCUGCUCCCUAGACUUGCGCAUGGCUCAGUGAGCUGAGUAUGCAGUCAUUAAACCCCUCUGUUGUAUGUUCAAAUCCCGUCUCCUGUUUUUUGUAUUUUUGUAGAUUUUGUUCCCUACUGAUUCAUUUAAAUCAGUUUUCUAGUUCCUGUGUUUUGUAACGUGUAUUUGGGUUUGGUUUUUUGCUUUGUGCCUGUGGUUGUGUUUUUACCUGUCUUUGUUAUUCCCGUAGUGUUAGAUUCUGUUUCUUAUUUUCUCUGUUAAGUUUGAGUUCCUUGAUUUAAUUAGUCGUGUCACCUGUUGUCUGUUUUCUUGUGCCAGUCCUUGUGUGUUUUACCCUGAUAAUUGUUAAAUUUCUUACUCCUGUAUUACCCAGUUCAGUUUCUGUAUAUAUUUCAUGUGCUCUUCAUUGUGUAUUCCAGAACAUUAGUAGUUUUUAUAUUUGUACUUUGUUCCCUGCCUGAUCCUUAUUGUCUUGUCCCUGGACCUUGUUCCCUUAACUUUUGUCUUUUUUUUUUCCUAUUUGCUUUUUGACCCCUUGUAGUCCGUGUGAUUUGUAGGGUUCCCAGUGUUUUCAGUUUCUGUUAAUGAACCCCUUGUGUUCCCGUGAGUCAUCAGUGGAUUGUCACCUCCUUUCCCCACCUGCGCGAUGCCCCGCCCCUGUGCCAGAACCUCCCGAGUCCCUGACAGCAGGCUAAAUAUCUGGACCUGUCAGGGAGGUCAAAUCCUGUAGGUGUGAAAUGUGCAAGACACAGUGUAAGGCAAAACCUGAGGGAUGAAUUAAAGUUCAGUUUGUUUAGGACUUGUUCUUAGUGUUCAAGGACACACACACGUGCAAGGGUCAUCUUGGAGAGAAGUAUCUUGCUGAAACGAAACAGAGAUAAGUAAACUAUAUCUAAUAAACUGAAAGGGAUGCAUAAGGUUAAUGCUUAGUCCUACUAAUGUCCAUUUUUUUUUGUUAUUUCAGCAAUUUUACUGUAUUAUGUACUUUUUGUUUUGAAGAAGUGUUAUUGUAAAUUGUGAAGACAGGUUUUGCGCAUGGUUCAUGGGUGUUUGAUAAGUGUUUAGAUGCCCUAAUAACAAAAAUUAUUACAGUACAAAAUGGCCAUGCAGUUAAUUUAUUAAAAAAUAAAUUAUAACCUCAUAACAAAAAUGAAACCGAGAAAAGUAUUUGUU